UGAAUGAUAUUCAAUUUGGCUUGUCUAAGGUUUGAUUUGAUCAAACCUAAUUGAAUUAUGAGAUAAUCCAAUUGCAUGGAAGAAUAAUUCUUAAUUUGAUUAGAAUUUGGGUGCCAUCUAAUUUCUAAUCAGAUUAAAUUUUAAUCUAAAUAGAUUGGGCUCCUAAUCAGAUUAGGAUUUCGAUCUAUUUGAGUCAAAUCAAUUCAUAAUCAGAUUAGAAUUGAUUUAGUUUAAAUAAGCCACCUAAAGAAGAGUCCUAAUGGUCUAGGAUUUCUUCCCUUGCGCCACAUUAUGGAAGCCUCACACCCUACUUUGUUUUGUGCCAAUUUUUCCUCCAUGUCCUAGAGAAAGAAACAACAUGAAAAGAGUUCACGCUAAUGCUAUCUCACUAUGGGAUAUGGGGGCACAAAAAGGAUAAGGUGCGACACAAAUCUAGUGUCCAAGGUAACAUGAACUCUCAACCAAAGGCCCUAACUAAUCCUAUUUAAACAAGGGAUAAGAGGAGCGGAUGCUAUGCUGAUAGAGAUCAGAUUUUAGAAACGCCAAACCAAGGGAGGUGCGUGAGAAAAUUUGGAAAAGAGAGGGCGCGGCAUCAAGGGGUUGGCGUGAGGUUUGUUGGCUCUUAUCCUUUCUUUCUUACCAACAACCAAAGAUUGGUUGUUAGGGUCUUCUCUCUCCAUCUUUUGUCCAAAUUUUAGACAUGGAUUUUUCUCUCUUUUGUCCAAGAGUUGAACAUGUUUUCUUAAACCUCUAGCGUAGAAAUUUUAUGCAUGAGUUUUAGAAAGAGAGAAGAAAGUGCUCUUCUCACAAUCUCUAGCAUAGAGAUUUUCAUCUUCUUAUUUUUUUCUCCUCUAAAAGGAUCUUGAGAAAAAAAAAGAGUUUUCAACCGUCAAGAUGCGAUCUUUACAAGGGAGCUAGCACUCCGAUGAAAUUAAUAAGCUUCUGAUCAGAUUAAGGCCCUAUGUGGAUACCCAUAGAGGUUGGACGCUUGUGCGGCUUCAAGAAACCUUCGGAAGACAUCCACGAUCAUCGGUUCGCGGUGUAUAUUGAUCCACGUUAAGGUAUGAAGAUUAGAUCUUCUCUAUUUAUUCUUCUCUAUUUGAUUUCUGUAUCUGAAUCCUAUCACAUAUGUAGAUCUUAUUAUAUGGUUUUAAGAUUUGAUCUUAUGCAUGCUUAGAUUAAAUUAGAUUUAAUCUGAAUUUUUUUAAAUUUUUGCUGCACUUACGUCUUGAAAAAUUUUGCAUGCAUGAAACCAUAAAAUCCCAACAAUGGUAUUAGAGCCACAUCAUAUGCAUGAAAUUAGGAUUUAGAUCUGAAAUCUGUAGAAAAAAUUUUUAAAUCUAAAAAUUUUUGAUAUCGUUCUGACAUAAGGUUGUCCUGGCAUAACUUGUUAUGUUGUAUAGUUAUCCUAGAACGAUAUUAAAAAUUUCUGAUUAAAACAAAAUUUUAAAUCUGAUUUUUCUUCAUAUAUAUGAUACAUGUUUUAUUGUUUAGAUAUAAAAAGAGUUUCGAGAUCUAUUUUCAUUCGUAUAUAUGAUAAAUGAAAGUAUGCUUAGGUCUGAAAUUAGUUUCUAUGAUCUAAAUUUAAUUCAUAUAUAUGAUAUAUGAUUGUAUGCAUAAUCUGAAAAGUAUUUCGAGAUCCAAAACUUACUUUCAUGCAAAGAAUUUAGAUCUGAAAAUUUAAAUUUAAGAUCUAAAAUUAGUAUUUGUGCAUGAGGGAUAGGUCAUGGGUAGAUCAAAUUAAGUCAUGUAAUUGGAUUAUACCUAAAAUUUCUGAUUUGAUCAUAAUAGGUCAAAAUCGAUUUAGUAGUUGAUCAAACCGAGUCAAAUGUUGAUUAGAAUUAGAUCAAUAGAGCUUAAGAUCAUACAAUCGUUGUUGAUCGAAUCGAUUGACACCCAUAUGUAGAAUCGAUUAACUCAAGGACCUAAUUCGGCUAUGUGGCUCGAGCCUGAUUCGCCUAAGCUAAUUUAUUUGAACCAAUCGACCUAUUGAUGUCUAAGGCAAGUAAUUGAAAGAUGGUUCUUUAAUUAGUUCCGUUCGCUGAUCUAGCCAAUUUAUUGGUAUUUAAGAAAAAUAACAGAGAACCCCCACUGAUCUCCACUUACCUGAUCAAUUUAGAAGAUUAAGUUUUGAAUGUGGUCGCUUGAUGUUUUGGUUUAGCCUAUGCCAAUUAGAUCAGCCAUGUGAUGACUGAUUAUAUUAGACCUAAAUUUAAACCUCCCCAUAAAUAUUAAGUCUAGUGGUCUUCCACCAUUGUAGAUGUACGGAUGUGCUACCAGUAUUGAUUGUUCAUGGCUGGUCACAGUGGUUCAGUUGCAUCGAAAACACGUAACCAUUCUAUUAAUAAAGAGUUACUCCAGAUAAAAAUGGGAUUGAACCCAAUAACUGUUAGGUGAGGAACUCAAUGAUGGCUUUGCACCUACUUGUGAACAGUAAGUCUGACUUAACUAAAGAGUGUGAACAAUAAUUGUUAAAUGAGCUCACAUGACUUGGAGACCAAGUCGCUGCAACAUGCUUAGAGAAGCAUCUGAGCAAAGAGUUAUUCAUGCAUCGAUGUGCGUGUUACCAAUAACUGUUAGAUGAGGUAUACGACAUUAGUGGGAUCGCAGUAUCCACUAAAAAUCUAGUUGUCGCACUAGGAUUUUCGUUUCUCCAUCCGAAAAAUGUGAGAGAUUUGAAAAAAUAAUGGGAGCCUGUUUGCAUCUAAAAAUUCUUAGAGCAAAUUAUAAAACAAGUACAAACAUGUAACUAGAAUCUUUACUCUCUGUUGCUUAUUGUGUCAACUUCCAAUCCUCUAACUCGAAUCUUAGUUAUCAACCGUUUAACCGAAAUUAAUUACAUAAACUGACUCAAAAAUCUAAGAAUCAUUCUUAGUUUUAAAAAAUUAAGCUAUGUUCUUUAUCAGGUUAUUCCAAUGUUAUCAGUCUGUCCAACUCAAAGUCAACGAGCUAUACUUGAUAAGUGGAUGGACAAUGACAAUAAAGAUAGGUACUAUAUGUUGGCGUUCAUAUCAGAUGAACUCCAACAUAUGCAUGAGCAUAUGUAUACUGCCAACGACAUGUUGAUUUAUUUAUGUGUUGUGAGAUGAUCAGAGUUGCACAGCGCAUAAAAUACGCGAUGGACAGUCAGUCGAUGAUCACUAUUUGAUAAUGCUCAAGGACAUUAAGGAGCUUCAAAAACUCGACAUGACCAUGCACAAGAAAUUGUUUGUGAAUUGGAUCCUGCAAUCCCUUCUUAGUUUGUAUGGGUAGUUUAUGAUAAACUACCAUAUGAAUGACCAUGAUGGCACUUUAUCUGAAUUGAUCAAUAUGUUGGUAACUAAGGGACCUUGAAAAGUUCAAAAGUACAUACCUGGAGAGCCUAAAGAAACAAAAAUACACCUUAAGAAGGCAUGUCAAAAUUGCUCGAUACUGUCAUUACAGUUUCUUCUUCUCCCAGUUAAGUAUUAGACUCUAGUACUUUUUAUGCACUUUAUUGUAGAGUCUAAGAAAAAAUAGAGGGUUGAGGGAAGAUGAAGUAAUCUUUAAAGUUGGCAAUAGGACAAGAAUUGCUACUGUGGCCAUGGACAUCUAUCCUUUGCGACUACCGUUUGGAUUUAGUUNNNNNNNNNNNNNNNNNNNNGCGAGCAAUGAAUGCCAUUGGAUCUGAAAGAUCCAGUGUUGAGAUAAAUCUGAAGUAUAUGUGGUACUUUAGGCUAGAUCAUAUAGGAGAAGAAAUUAUUAACAGACUGGAGAAACAUGGACUUUUGGGCUCAUUGACUAUUGAGUCAUCUAGUCUAUACAUUAUCUCUUUAAGAAAAAAUAAUCAAGCUACUAUUGUGGAACAACAAGAAAAGGACCAUUGAGAUACUUAUCCUGGUACACAUUUAUGUGUGCAGCCUAUUUAAUGUACUAGCCAAGGGAGAUUGUCUCUACUUUGUUACUUUUAUUGAUGAUCAGUCAUGGUAUGGGUAUAUAUAUGUGAUACAAAUUUGAGGCUUUAAAAAAUUCAAAAAAUUCAGAUAUGAAGUAAAGAAAUAAACCGAAAAAUUUCUAAAAAUACUUCGAUUAGUUCAAGGAUGCAAUACCAAAAUAAAAAAUUUCUCGACUAUCUCAUAAAAAUGACAUAUUUUCAUAGUGAACCCCUCCUAGUAAACCUCAGCUCAACGAGGUAUUUAAGAGGAAGAAUGGGACUAUAUGAGAUAUGUUCCAGUCCAUGAUGAACUUCAAUGAUUUAUCUUUCUUUCUUUAGGGACAUUUUAUUUUUGAAAUUUACCUAUUGAAUAUUAUUUUUUCUAAAUCCAUUCCUAUUACACCGUAUUGGAUAUGACAUGGUAAGAAACCAAGUCUUAGUUAUUUCAAGAUUUGGGGAUGUCUAGCCGAUGUCAAGGAUAGCAGGCAGACAUGUUAGAGACUAGAUCUAUAAAGCUCAUUUCAUAGCAUAUCCUAAAAGAAUUUGGGAUACUCCUUUUUCUUCUUAAAAGAUCACAAUGUGAUUGUGACCCGUCAAGCCAUCUUCUUGGAAAUGGUUUAUCCAAAAUGAGGUAGUGGGAGGAAAGUUAAGCUCGAAUAGAGUAUCUCUGAAGAACAACGAGUCAUAGAACCUAAAGAACCUAUUCAUGAUGAGCCAGUACAUGUAUGUACCUCUUCCACCUCGUAGAUAUAGUAGGAUCUCUCAUCCUCUUCAAAAGUACUUAGAUAUGCUUAACAGAAGAUGUAAAGAAAAGUGUUUCUCAUGGGAGAUAGGAAACAUAGAGAUGAUCCCAAAACUUAUAACGAGACGAUGUUAGACACCAACUCCGAGAAUGGGAUGUGAAAUAGCUUUCUUGAUUAGAUAUUUUGAAAAGAUAUCUGUAUGGAGUAGCCUUUGAAUUUCACUUUCUGUAAUAGAGAUCACAAAAUUUGCAAGAAUCUCGGAGUCAGAACAUUCAUUUCAAUGAUGUAAUCAAAUUGUUUGAUAAAGAACGAGAAAAAAUUAUAUGUUUAUAUAAAGAUCAAUGGGAGUGCUGUCACGUUCUCCGUAAUGUAAGUGGAUGACAUCCUCCUGAUUGAGAUUGUCCCAUACUGACAUCGGUUAAAAUGUAGUUGUAUAUAGAAUUCUCCAUGAAAGACCUAGGGCAUACAUCUUAUAUUCUGGGAACAUAAAGAUCUAUAGAGAUAGAUCCAAAUAGAUGCUUAGGUUUUUACAGAAAAGUACAGAGAGUAGAUGCUGAAAUGGUUCAGCAUAAAAACCUCUAAGAGAGGUCUGCUACCCUCUUGAGUAUAGAAGUAUGUCAUGUUAUGUACUCGAUUUAAUAUAAUUAUUGCUGUGAAUGUCACGAGUAGAUAUCAGUCGAAUCCAGACUAGAAGUGUUAGAUUACUGUAAAAAAAAAUUUAAGUACUUGAAAAGAACUAAAGAUUUGUUCUUGAAUUUUGGAGAAGGAUCAGAGCUAGGAGUGGGAAAAUACACCAAUUCAAACUUUAUGUUUGAUGUUGAUGGUAGAGUGUCUACAUCAAGGAGUGUGUUCUUGUGUAAUCAUGGUUCGAUAUCUUGAAAGGAUUCCAAGCAACCAAUCGAUGGAAGCUGAGUACAUUGUAAAUGUAUAGGAUACAUUCUGAUUCUAAUGUUAGUUACCGAACUGGAUGUCAUGCCAUCAGAUGCCAUAACACUAUAUUGCAAAGACAGUGGCACCAUAGCCCUUGCUAAGGAGUCAAAGUCUCAUAAAAAAUCCAAGCACAUAGAGCAACAGUACACGCGACUACCUCAAGUAAAAAUAUAUAGAGAUGCAGAGAGCAGACUCCACAUGAAAUGUGGUAGACUCACUGGUAAGUCACUUAGCUAGCCGAAGACUAAAGCCUGUCUUGAGCAGAUGAAAUUUGGUAUAUGACAGAUUGACUUUAGUGCAAGUGAGAGAUUGUCAGAUGUAUGCCCUAUAAGCCAAUAUUGACUGAUGCAUAUCAUAUUUUUAGGACAUGAUUUUAUACUUAAUGGAUAGUUAUAUCACCAUUCAUAUUUUAUGUAUCCAUGAAUCAUCCAAAGGAUUAACAAGAUAAUGACACUGUUGAGAAUUUGAGACAUGUGUCAUUGAUAAUUAAUUUCUAAAUUGCUUCUAAUCAUAGGAUCAUCACGAGAUGGUGAUUGAUCCAGAUAGACUGAUGCACGGAUUGCUUCUUUCGGACAGAUUAGUCUCGAAUCUGCGGUGUAGUGAUAUUGGAGCAAGAGUGCAGGUAGUUGUUAAAGAAUAACUGGCAUUAAGUGUGACCAACACAAGAAGUCACAUGGAUGUCUGCUCACUCGUUAGUGAUUUUUUCGAUGCUGUAGUUGUGUGAUUGAUCCUUUAACUUGCGAUGCUACAACUGCUCGCAGUAAGACUGCUAGAGUUUGACUACACAUAAAUAUUGAAUGAGUCCUUGUAGUGGAUGUUGGUGAUAGUUGAUCCACUAUAGGAGUAGGAUGUGCAUUUAGAUGGGAUCCAUCGAUCCUACCGGAAGCAAGUAGUCCUGUGAGAUUUGAGAGGCUGAGUCCUCAAAGUUUAUGGCCAUAAUAAUGUGAUUGAUGAAAAAGAGUUUCCAUGAGAAUCACAGAUGGACUCGAGCUAAUUGAAUAUAUCAUAUAACCGAUAUUGAGAUUUGACGAUUUAUCCAUGACAUGCCAUCUGUCAGGAGUCACGAUAGAAGGACUGUAUCAUACGUUAAUUGUACCUAAAGAUUCAUCACUUUUUAUUUUACUGAAUUACUACUACAUACUGUUAGAUGUCACGGAUGGAUUGUGAGACCCACGAGCAUCAUCUUGAUGAUCGAUGAUCCUUGAUGGAUAGAAUUAGAAUGAUUUUAAUCCAUCGAAAAGAGUUUCGAUGAUAUUAUGAUAGGGAUCACAAUAUAUCUCAUUACUAAUCAGAAUAGAGCCUAUAGGGUCACACAAAGAAAUUUUUGAUUGAUCAGAUGAUUAAGUUGCGAUUAUGAAUCGCAAUUGGAUUUAAUGAUCAAUGUGAUUGAUCGUUAAUCCCAUGUAAAAGUUGCAACUAAGUAACCCAUUAAAGAAUUAGUGAGUUAUAGAAGGAUUAAUUAGUAAUUGAAUUGCUAAUUGACUCAAUUUGAUUGAGCAAUGAGGCUUGGAUCAAGUCUAAUUGAAUGAAAUUCAAUUUGGCUUGCCUAAAGUUUGAUUUGAUUAAACCUAAUUUGGCUAUGAGAUAACCCAAUUGCAUGGGAGAACAAUUCCUAAUUUGAUUAGAAUUUGGAUGCCAUCUAAUUUCUAAUUAAAUUAAGUUUUAAUCUAGAUAGAUUGGACUCCUAAUCAGAUUAAGAUUUCGAUCUACUUGGAUCAAAUCAAUUUCUAAUCAGAUUAAGAUUGAUUUGGUUUAAAUAAGCCACCUAAAAAAGAGUCCUAACGAUCUAGGAUUCCUUCCCUUGCACCACAUUAUGGAAGCCCCAGGUCCCACUUUGUUUUGCGCCAAUUUUUCCUCCACGUCCUAGAGAAAGAAACAGCAUGAAAAGAGUUCACACUAAUGCUAUCUCAUCGUGGGAUAUGGGGGCGCAAAAAGGAUAAGGGGCGGCAUAAAUAUAGAGUCCAAGGUAACAUAGACUCUCAACCAAAAGCCCUAACUAAUCCUAUUUAAACAAGAGAUAAGAGGGGCGGAUGCUAUGCUAAUAAAGAUCAGAUUUUUGGGAUGCCGAACCAAGGGAGGUGCAUGAGAAAAUUUGGAGAAGAGAGGGUGCGGCAUCAAGGGGUUGGCGUGAGGUUUGUUGGCCCUUAUCUUUUUUUUCUUACCAACAACCAAAGGUUGGUUGUUAGGGUCUUCUCUCUUCCUCUUUUGUCCAAAUUUUGGACAUGAAUUUUUUCUCUCCCCUUUGUCCAAGAGUUGGACAUAUUUUCUUAGAUCUCUAGCAUAGAGAUUUUGUGCAUAGAUUUUAGGAAGAAAGAAAAGAAAGUAUUCUUCUCAUGAUCUUUAACAUAGAGAUCUUCAUCCUCCUAUGUUCUUCUUCUUCUCUAAGAGGAUCUUGAGAGAAAAAAAAAAUUUCAACCGUCAAAAUGCGAUCUCUGCAAGAGAGCUAACAUCUCGGUGAGAUCAAAAAGCUUCUAAUCAGAUCGAGAUCUCGUGUGGAUAUCCGUAGAGGCCGGACGCUUGUGCAACUUUAAGAGAUUUUCGGAAGAUAUCCACGAUCAUCGAUUCGCGAUGUAGAUCGAUCCACGCCAAGAUAUGAAGAUUAGAUCUUCUCUAUUUAUUUUUCUCUACUUGAUUUUUCUAUCCGAAUCCUAUCUCAUAUAUGUAGAUCUUGUUGUAUGAUUUUAAGAUUUGAUUUUAUGCAUGCUUAAAUUAAAUUAGAUUUAAUCUGAAUUUUUAAUUUUUACUGCGUACUUAUUUUUGAAAAAUUUUACAUGCAUGAAACUAUAAAAUCCCAACAACUCUUUCCUAUAGGACUUCUUACAGGUCAUCUUUAUUUUUGUAUGUUCACAAAUAUAAACCAGAUAUAUUAUUAGUUUUAAAAGUUAGUGGUGAUUUAGAAUCCCAACCAGAUAUCCUAGCUAUAAUAAUGCACCAUCAACCUCUCUCAUCAUAGCAUGCUUGAGCAUGUAAUGCUUUGCCUUGUCGUGUUUGAAUAAUUUUGAUUAGUUGUAUAAACUAUUUGGAAUUUUUGUAUCGAUAGUGGCAUAUCUCAACACCUUCGUUACACUGCAUAACAUACGUAACCUUUGUGAUUCUCUCAUCUUCACAUAGAAUUAAAUAGUUCAUGGUGUAUCUUUGAAAAUAGAUUUGCACUAAAGUUUUUCCACUACUACCAACAGAGUAGGUCUAGAUGGUAGAGUAAAUGAUUGUAACCAUGAUCCAAGUGUUCAUGCUAUAUGGUACUCACACGUAGGCAUGAGGAAAUUCAUAUGUUGCAUGGCGACAUCGACAAGAUAACAAAAUAGAAAUUACUUCUUAUAAAAUG
rnacentral:lncRNA from 1 species